rnacentral:rRNA from 1 species
GAUGAACGCUGGCGGCGUGCUUAACACAUGCAAGUCGAACGGUGAACACGGAGCUUGCUCUGUGGGAUCAGUGGCGAACGGGUGAGUAACACGUGAGCAACCUGCCCCUGACUCUGGGAUAAGCGCUGGAAACGGUGUCUAAUACUGGAUACGAGUAGCGGCCGCAUGGUCAGUUACUGGAAAGAUUUUUUGGUUGGGGAUGGGCUCGCGGCCUAUCAGCUUGUUGGUGAGGUAAUGGCUCACCAAGGCGUCGACGGGUAGCCGGCCAGAGAGGGUGACCGGCCACACUGGGACGGAGACACGGCCCAGACUCCUACGGGAGGCAGCAGUGGGGAAUAUUGCACAAUGGGCGAAAGCCUGAUGCAGCAACGCCGCGUGAGGGAUGACGGCCUUCGGGUUGUAAACCUCUUUUAGCAGGGAAGAAGCGAAAGUGACGGUACCUGCAGAAAAAGCGCCGGCUAACUACGUGCCAGCCGCCGCGGUAA